CUUCAGCGAGCUUCGGCUCACUAUCGGAUCGUUUUAGAAACAUCAGUGGCCAACAAUCGUCAGGAUUGUUGAGCUGCAUUGGCGGGAUUUCGCCGUCUUCGUUUCUCUUUCUUCGCGGACGAACACGCGCUGGGGCUGCAAGCUUGCAGAAUCCCUGGUCCUUAACAGGAUAUGCGUUAGGGGCUUGUAGCUCAGUUGGUUAGAGCGCGCGCUUGAUAAGCGUGAGGUCGGAAGUUCAAGUCUUCCCAGGCCCACCACUUUCAUCGAGUGAGCAUUCGUCUUCUGGUUACGGGGCCAUAGCUCAGCUGGGAGAGCGCGUGCUUUGCAAGCAUGAGGUCGUCGGUUCGAUCCCGUCUGGCUCCACCAGAUGGUUUGAUCACCGAGAUCUUGUACCGUCGUCCGCGAAACAUCACUUCGCAUCCUGCUAGUCUGGAUAGACAGCAGAUUGCGUGAUUUCUGACAUCGUAAAGAGGAGAUCGAUCCGAGUUGGAUCGUGCAGAGAAUAUCUGCGCGAGACUUCAUUAUCUCCGGAUCAUUUCGGCGCUCGUGCGUUUUCCAAGGUAGCUCACAAGGCUGCGUUGAGAGACAAGCGAGUUGUAAAUGAUCCUUUUAGCGAAGCUUGACCGCCUCGCUAUCGGAACGAUCUUACGAAGCAAGCUGGUCUUUCUAGUCAAUGUCCGGCUGCAGAUAGCGUUCAUCGAGGGCGCGUGCCGCAAGGCAAUUCUGCAGACAACAUUCUGCCGAGUGUGUGGACAUUGAUAAUGAGAGC
rnacentral:tRNA from 1 species